rnacentral:piRNA from 1 species
UGGCAGGACUAAAUAAACUCUUC